GCUACGAGAUUUCAAAACAGAGCCUCCAAAAGGAAAAGAAAAGAGAGGGAAGAAGAAGGAGAUUGAAGAGGAGAUCUUGCAAGGGAGCAAAAGGGAUUCGUUCUCAAGGUUGUGAAGCUUCAGAUCCACAUCUUUGGUGUCUCCAAUCUGUCGUUCCACCAUUCUUUGUGAGGUCCUUCUAUACUCAAGCUUGCAGCUCUAAAUCUUGUUGCUGUCCAAGAUAGUGAAUUUUGAUGUAUGUGAGCCUCUAGUGCUAUCUACAUACAAACUUAUUGUAAUCUCACAAGCAUAUAGUGGAAGAAGAUUUAGCUGGCUUGGUCCCGUCGUUUUCCCCUAAUUUGGGGGCUUUCCACGUUAAAUCUGAUGUCUUUUGGUUGAUUUGAUGCUACUGCGAUUUUCUCUAUAAUAUGUAUAAUGCAUAUGUUGCUCUAUGUGAAUAGGUUGACAUCAUGGCUGAUUUCGCUGCCACUAACAUGUUGUGUUAGUGAGGUUUUCCCAAGACAAUACGACAACUUUCUCUUCGUCAGACGACUAACAGGGGACUGUUGCUUUGCUGAGACAACAUGCGCGCAUGAACCGGACAGGGGUUCAGGGUUUGUUACUCUGGAUGGCCGCAUCUACGAUCGGACUCGUAGGAUGAGGCAGUGGUUGAAGCUGACCAAGUCGAAGGACCGGCGCACUGCCGCUGACUCCUCUGCCCAUAGACGCGGCAGCAGGUCGCCUACCCUACUCCUCCUCAUCACCGGCGGGUAAUCCCGAAACAACAACAGAUGCAUGAACCUGUUUCAAUUCCACAUGGAGGAUUGGUGGUUUGAUUUUUUUAAUAUCUUCUUCUGCAAUCUGCAUACAUCGUGUAUGACGAAACGAUGGCCAUUGCUGAAUGCUACUGACCAAGACAAGGUGAAUGUGGUCCUGGAGAGCUAAAGGCAUGGCUGAGCUCCUCAAGACCUGGCAGCACCCUAGUUUCUGACAUCGUUGAAAUAUGAACUUUGUUGAAUGCCUAAUGUUGUUGAUCCCUUAACACAUAAGUUUAUAUUAGGGUUGUGAUCUAGCUCCUUUUAUAUUCGUACAGAGUUGUGAAACUGAUCUAUCCAAUUAUAUUAGUUGUAAAGAACUAUUCACAUUCAAUAAUAACAGAGAUAUCACAGAUUGCUUGGCGCU